rnacentral:rRNA from 1 species
UAUUAGUUUGAUUCUGACUAAAAAAUUAGUAAUUAUUAAUAUUUCUUAUGCUAAAUAUAAAGUUAAUCUAUUUAAUUAAGGUAUUACAAAUAUGAAUUACCCUUAAUAGCAGUGGUUGAAGUUGUAAUUAUAUAUUCAUGUAUGAAACAAUUUAAAUUUAAAAAUUAGCCAAAGUCGUGCCAGCAGCAGCGGUUAUACGACAGAUUUCUAACAAACAAAAUCAAUUUAGAUAUAAUAAAAAUAAUUAAAGGUCAAAUUUCCAUAUAUAAAGACCCAUAAAUAUCACUAAUAAAUUAUUAUUUAAAACAAGGAUUAGAUACCCUUUUAUUUCUAACCAAUUAAAAGAUUGGGAAUUACGAGCAAUAGCUUAAAAACCUAAGACUUUGGCGGUGUCUUAUUCAAUCAGGGGGACCUGUAUUAUAAUUCGACAGUCCACGUAUAAAACCUACCUUCUCUAGAAUAUCAGCCUGUGUACUGCCGUCUAAUAGGCACUUAAAGCAUCCUAUAGGAAUUAUUACAAACAUACGUCAGGUCAAAGUGCAGCUUACUGAGAAGGAAAAUAUGGGUCACAGUCUAUAAUAUAGUAAUUAAUAAAUUAAUUGAUAAUUUAUAAUUUAGGACUUGAUAGUAAAUUUAUCAAAAAGAUAUAUUGAAUAUGAACCUAAGACAAGCACACAUCGCCCGUCACUCCCUUAUACCGGAUAAGUCGUAACAUAGUAGGUGUAAUGGAAAUUGCAUCUGUCAAGUU